CUUUUGCUGAUGAGUUUUAGACAGGACGAAACGCGUGUCCUGGAU
rnacentral:hammerhead_ribozyme from 1 species